GGUUUUGGGACGUUGUUUUAUCAGUUGUAUAGAGUUUGUUUGGUGCCUCAUUUGCGUCCUCCAUUGUAGGAUUGGACUCGAGGAAUCGAAGAGUGUAGCAGUAGUACUCUGAGGUAGCCCAGAGGUAGCCAAGCAGAGGCUACAGGUGAGUGGAACUAAACUGAAUAUUUUAUUUUGAGAAAUGACACGAUUCUAGCAUGAUCCAUGCAUCAUAAACUGCCAUGUUAUGUAUUAGGUUGUGUUGCAUUAGAAUUCACGAAUAUGAUGCAUUGCAUAUGUUGUUGUUCCUGUGGAUGAAUGUUGGAUGAUCCUUAGCCCUUGACAGAGAGCAGAUACAGAGUUAUGGCAUGAGAUAGCCAUACCAGGUCGCCCCUGGAUAGUCCAGGUCGCUCCUGGUACUAUGAGUGAGACAGCUGAGCUGUCAAAUCAGAGUUAAGUGUAGACCAGGUGAGACCUCGUCUCCUUGGCACAGUUGGUCAUGUUAUGAUAUCAGAGAGAUAAGUGUAGACCAGGGGAUGACAUAGUCUCCUUGGCACAGUUGGCAUUAUUAUAACAUGUAGUUGAGGGUUAUUGGUGACAAAUUCAUCCUUGAGAUGAUAUGUUUGUGAUGUGAUGCAUUUCAUGAGAGCAUGUAAUGAAUGAACUGUUUUUAUUGUUCCUCCUCACUGGGCUCUAGAGCUCAUCCCACUCCCUUAACCCCAGUUUUGCAGGUUCUGAGAUAGCUAUGGGAAGUCAAAGUCAGCAAGAGUACAGAGGAAAGUUAUGCAUGAAUGUAUGUUUGUAAUAGCAUAGUGGACAUGAUGUAAUUAAAAGAUUAGUUGUAAUGUAAUGUAUAGAGAUGUACUGUCAUAUACGGGAUAGACUUAUGCUUUCCCUAGUGUCAUUGCUACAGUGUGAUGUAUGAUUAAUCCCUUGUACAUGAAUCCUGUUUUACGUUUCUUGAUGAGAAAUGUGUGAGUUAGGCUUAAUGCAUGGCUUGGAGGAGAUACCAGUGGGAUGUGUUACAGAUUAAAAAGGGUUUCAAUCCCUUGAGCCACAGCAGAUGGUAGUCCCUGGGAUAGGCCCUGAGGGCCAUUUCAGAUUGACAUAUCUGAGUAGCAGUAGUUAAGCCUACAGAGUUUUCCAGGAUUGUUGAGUCGUUUUGUAUCAUGUAUGGGAUUUAUCAGGUACACAGCAAGUAUAGUUGGCUAACUACGGGUCCCGGCGGCCUUAAGCCGAUCUGGAUCCUAGUGCCAGUGAUGGUUCAGACCGUUACUGAGGGGUACCGGUUUUCGGGUCGUUACA
rnacentral:lncRNA from 1 species